rnacentral:rRNA from 1 species
CGGGAAACUGGGGAUAAUACCGGAUAUAUGGAGAUGCCUGGAAUGGUACUCCACUUAAAGCUCCGGCGCCUAAGGAUGGAUCUGCGGCAGAUUAGGUCGUUGGUGGGGUAAUGGCCCACCAAGCCUAUAAUCUGUACGGGUUGUGAGAGCAAGAGCCCGGAGAUGGAACCUGAGACAAGGUUCCAGGGCCUAACGGGCGCAGCAGGGCGCGAACCCCCGGAAAGGCGAGCAAUCGCGACGGGGGGACCCCAAGUGCCACUCUUAACGGGGUGGCUUUGCUUAAGUGUAAAAAGCUUUUGGAAUAAGGGCUGGGCAAGACCGGUGCCAGCCGCCGCGGUAAUA